rnacentral:misc_RNA from 1 species
GAACUGCGAUAAGUAAUGUGAAUUGCAGAAUUCAGUGAAUCAUCGAAUCUUUGAACGCACAUUGCGCCCGCCAGUAUUCUGGCGGGGAUGCCUGUCCGAGCGUCAUUUCAACCAUCAAGCCCCCGGGCUUGUGUUGGGGACCUGCGGCUGCCCGCAGGCCCUGAAAACCAGUGGCGGGCUCGCUGUCACACCGAGCGUAGUAGCAAUCACCUCGCUCAGGGCGUGCUGCGGGUUCCGGCCGUUAAACAGCCUUACAAAACCCAAGGUUGACCUCGGAUCAGGUAGGAAGACCCGCUGAACUUAAGC